GAGUACGACGGAGCACGUGAAAUUCCGUCGGAAUCUGGGAGGACCAUCUCCUAAGGCUAAAUACUCUCUAGUGACCGAUAGUGAACCAGUACCGUGAGGGAAAGGUGAAAAGCACCCCGGAAGGGGAGUGAAAUAGAACCUGAAACCGUGUGCUUACAAGUAGUCAGAGCCCGUUAAUGGGUGAUGGCGUGCCUUUUGUAGAAUGAACCGGCGAGUUACGAUUUGAUGCAAGGUUAAGCAGUAAAUGUGGAGCCGUAGCGAAAGCGAGUCUGAAUAGGGCGUUUAGUAUUUGGUCGUAGACCCGAAACCAGGUGAUCUACCCUUGGUCAGGUUGAAGUUCAGGUAACACUGAAUGGAGGACCGAACCGACUUACGUUGAAAAGUGAGCGGAUGAACUGAGGGUAGCGGAGAAAUUCCAAUCGAACCUGGAGAUAGCUGGUUCUCUCCGAAAUAGCUUUAGGGAUAGCCUCAAGUGAUGAUUAUUGGAGGUAGAGCACUGUUUGGACGAGGGGCCCCUCUCGGGUUACCGAAUUCAGACAAACUCCGAAUGCCAAUUAAUUUAACUUGGGAGUCAGAACAUGGGUGAUAAGGUCCGUGUUCGAAAGGGAAACAGCCCAGACCACCAGCUAAGGUCCCAAAAUAUAUGUUAAGUGGAAAAGGAUGUGGCGUUGCCCAGACAACUAGGAUGUUGGCUUAGAAGCAGCCAUCAUUUAAAGAGUGCGUAAUAGCUCACUAGUCGAGUGACACUGCGCCGAAAAUGUACCGGGGCUAAACAUAUUACCGAAGCUGUGGAUUGUCCUUUGGACAAUGGUAGGAGAGCGUUCUAAGGGCGUUGAAGCAUGAUCGUAAGGACAUGUGGAGCGCUUAGAAGUGAGAAUGCCGGUGUGAGUAGCGAAAGACGGGUGAGAAUCCCGUCCACCGAUUGACUAAGGUUUCCAGAGGAAGGCUCGUCCGCUCUGGGUUAGUCGGGUCCUAAGCUGAGGCCGACAGGCGUAGGCGAUGGAUAACAGGUUGAUAUUCCUGUACCACCUAUAAUCGUUUUAAUCGAUGGGGGGACGCAGUAGGAUAGGCGAAGCGUGCGAUUGGAUUGCACGUCUAAGCAGUAAGGCUGAGUAUUAGGCAAAUCCGGUACUCGUUAAGGCUGAGCUGUGAUGGGGAGAAGACAUUGAGUCUUCGAGUCGUUGAUUUCACACUGCCGAGAAAAGCCUCUAGAUAGAAAAUAGGUGCCCGUACCGCAAACCGACACAGGUAGUCAAGAUGAGAAUUCUAAGGUGAGCGAGCGAACUCUCGUUAAGGAACUCGGCAAAAUGACCCCGUAACUUCGGGAGAAGGGGUGCUCUUUAGGGUUAACGCCCAGAAGAGCCGCAGUGAAUAGGCCCAAGCGACUGUUUAUCAAAAACACAGGUCUCUGCUAAACCGUAAGGUGAUGUAUAGGGGCUGACGCCUGCCCGGUGCUGGAAGGUUAAGAGGAGUGGUUAGCUUCUGCGAAGCUACGAAUCGAAGCCCCAGUAAACGGCGGCCGUAACUAUAACGGUCCUAAGGUAGCGAAAUUCCUUGUCGGGUAAGUUCCGACCCGCACGAAAGGCGUAACGAUUUGGGCACUGUCUCAACGAGAGACUCGGUGAAAUCAUAGUACCUGUGAAGAUGCAGGUUACCCGCGACAGGACGGAAAGACCCCGUGGAGCUUUACUGUAGCCUGAUAUUGAAAUUCGGCACAGCUUGUACAGGAUAGGUAGGAGCCUUUGAAACGUGAGCGCUAGCUUACGUGGAGGCGCUGGUGGGAUACUACCCUAGCUGUGUUGGCUUUCUAACCCGCACCACUUAUCGUGGUGGGAGACAGUGUCAAGCGGGCAGUUUGACUGGGGCGGUCGCCUCCUAAAAGGUAACGGAGGCGCUCAAAGGUUCCCUCAGAAUGGUUGGAAAUCAUUCAUAGAGUGUAAAGGCAUAAGGGAGCUUGACUGCGAGACCUACAAGUCGAGCAGGGUCGAAAGACGGACUUAGUGAUCCGGUGGUUCCGCAUGGAAGGGCCAUCGCUCAACGGAUAAAAGCUACCCCGGGGAUAACAGGCUUAUCUCCCCCAAGAGUUCACAUCGACGGGGAGGUUUGGCACCUCGAUGUCGGCUCAUCGCAUCCUGGGGCUGUAGUCGGUCCCAAGGGUUGGGCUGUUCGCCCAUUAAAGCGGUACGCGAGCUGGGUUCAGAACGUCGUGAGACAGUUCGAUCCCUAUCCGUCGUGGGCGUAGGAAAUUUGAGAGGAGCUGUCCUUAGUACGAGAGGACCGGGAUGGACAUACCUCUGGUGUACCAGUUGUCGUGCCAACGGCAUAGCUGGGUAGCUAUGUGUGGACGGGAUAAGUGCUGAAAGCAUCUAAGCAUGAAGCCCCCCUCAAGAUGAGAUUUCCCAACUUCGGUUAUAAGAUCCCUCAAAGAUGAUGAGGUUAAUAGGUUCGAGGUGGAAGCAUGGUGACAUGUGGAGCUGACGAAUACUAAUCGAUCGAAGACUUAAUCAA
rnacentral:rRNA from 1 species